GUGACUUCAGCGUGGCAAAAUAAACUCCAAAGGAAUGAAUUUUCUCUUCGGUGCUGAAUUUGAAGUGUUUAAAAGUGUUGGAUAAUUUCUUUGUUUUUUGUCUGAUCUUCAGAGGACAACGAGGAGGUUUUCACAGAGGAAUUUGCUACAUUAUCAAUCCUAAGAGAGGCAGAAAAAAUUGAAGAGGAAACACUGCAGCCAAAAUGAUGCCCACCAAACUGCAGUUUGAUCAUCAGAGGAGCAAGAACAAGAAGAUGAAGAACAACCAGGAAAAGUCACAAACUAAAGGGUCAAUAGAUACAAAUAUAGUGAAACCUGUUAGAUGGGACAGCAUGGAGCAUGUGAGACCAGACUUCUCUUGUGAUCAAGCUGAAGAGUCUCAUUCUGAUCAACCAGGAUGAAGUGAGUUUACAUCACUGGCAGAAAACAUCUGGACCUUAAACUCCAGUAUGUGACAGCAGUUCAGUCACCAUCCUGGACAACUUUCCUCAGUUUGCUUUUGCAUAUUUCACGCGUCCUUCACGGCUGCACAUUUGGAGCUGCGCUUGUAUUCCUGUAACGAACACAGUAUUUUUUUAUUCAUCAUUUUCAAAUGUAUUAUUUUUGGUUUAUGUUUUCUGUUGCCCUGUAUAUUAUUGAUUUGAAUGAGAUGCUGUUCUGUCAUUUGUCUGUUGUGUUGCAGUGUCUUACUGUCCGGUAUGACAUGCAAUUUUGAAUUUGAAUUCUCACACUGUAUUUAUUGCACUUUAUUUCCUGCACUUUCAACUCUUUUCUUUUGUUGAGAGCUAGGGAAAUGUCUCUUGUGAAGCCUUACAUCACGUGAAACCAAAUCUGUUUUUGUGGGUCACAAAUCUUAGGUGUCAUAUGGGGGUUAAUAACAGGGAACACUUUUUGAUCUUCGUCACUCGCAUUAUACCUGGCAACCCUUGUAGCUUUAAUGAAGAGAACACACUUGUGUGAAGAAAGAGUUCAGAAAAGAGCAGCACAUAAAGCUACUGUUAAUGAUGACUGGUCAGGAGUUAUUUAAUAGUGUUUUGAAUAACACACACAUUUUAACUACAUUAUUUUCAGGCCCCAGGUUAGGAACUGUUGCCUUCAGAUGUCUCUUCUUUAAAUAUUUUAAUUGUUGUUUAACUGAUAAUACUACAGUUUAUGCACUGCUUUGUGUACAAUCAUAUUUUAAUAACAUUUUAUAUAUUUUAACAUGGUUUUACAUUAUAAUUGACAUUCUUUCUACUGACUGUAUUUCAUUUUCCAAAAAGGUGUCAAACAUAUUAUUUGGUUUACGAAAGGUGUCAAUAAAAGUUGUAA